GUCACCUAUUAUGAAUGACCUCUUCUUAGCCAAAGAUUAUUUUUUGAUGUUCAACUUUUUAUAUCCUAUCCUACAAAAGGCUUUCAGUUUUUAUCAUGAGAGUCUUCAGUUUCAGGCAUUUCCUAAAUAAGAAUAAUAGCACCAGAAUAAUAUCACAACCUCUGUAACAUUAGCAAAAACGGACCACACUAAUCCUCCAUCCUGAAAUAUUUUACAUACCGAUGACUACGAAGAUGACUAUAUGGUCCUAUUUAACAAUGAAAUUAAACAAUUCCUAUAAAACUUUCAGUCUAUUAAAAGUUUCUGAAUCAAAAAUUAUUUAGUUAAUGUGUCAGACACCAAGCAAAUUUGUUUUAAGGUCUUUUAAGAUAACCCCGUUGAAAGAAAGAACUAAGUUCAUUCAAAUUUAUAUGUCCAUCAACUGAAUCUAGUGUUUGUACAUAAAAAGUACUCAAUAGGUAUUGAUGAAUUGAUAGUAGCAAUUUGUGAAAAAUGAUCAGGAUCAAAAAAGGUCUUGAAAAACAAACUCAGCAGUUAAAAUAAAUCACUCAUUCAAGAAUGAUGUGCACAGUAUAAGUCUUUUUAUAGAAAAUUUUAAAAUUCCCACAGCAAAACUACAAGUUUCCAGAGUCAAGCAUGCAAUGAAAUGGAGAAUACUGAAUUUUACGUUGGUGGUUACCUCUAGGCAGGGAGUGAGGGCAACAACAGCAUCAGGGAGGCAUACAGAAGUCCUCAAUUGUUCUUAUUUGGAUGGAAACCAAAUGUUACAAUGUUAAUUUUGAUAAAACAGGGUGAUGGGCAUGAAUGCUCAUUAUAUUAUUCUCUUCUUGUCAGCUUAUUUACAAAUUCAAAAAAGAAAAAGAUAAUACCAGACCUUUGCAGGAACAAUCACCAGUGUAUUGAGGCAUCAGCAGUAUUUACCAGCUAAUCAUCUAUUUUACGAACAUCAAUCAUUUGAAGAUCAAUGAUCUA